rnacentral:rRNA from 1 species
UGGGGAAUAUUGCGCAAUGGGCGAAAGCCUGACGCAGCGACGCCGCGUGCGGGAAGAAGGCCUUCGGGUCGUAAACCGCUGUCAGGAGGGAAGAAACCAUUAGGGUCGAAUAGGCCCUUUUGCUGACGGUACCUCCAGAGGAAGCACCGGCUAACUCCGUGCCAGCAGCCGCGGUAAUACGGAGGGUGCAAGCGUUAAUCGGAAUCACUGGGCGUAAAGCGUGCGUAGGCGGCUUUGCGAGUCAGGGGUGAAAGCCCUCGGCUCAACCGAGGAAUUGCCUUUGGAACUGCUUGGCUUGAGUACUGGAGAGGCAGGCGGAAUUCCGGGUGUAGGGGUGAAAUCCGUAGAUAUCCGGAGGAACACCAGUGGCGAAGGCGGCCUGCUGGACAGAUACUGACGCUGAGGUACGAAAGCGUGGGGAGCAAACAG